rnacentral:rRNA from 1 species
CUGGCUCAGGAUGAACGCUAGCGACAGGCUUAACACAUGCAAGUCGAGGGGCAGCACGGGAGUAGCAAUACUUGGUGGCGACCGGCGCACGGGUGAGUAACGCGUAUGCAACCUACCUAUCAGAGGGGAAUAACCCGGCGAAAGCCGGACUAAUACCGCAUAAAACAGGGGCACCGCAUGGUGAUAUUUGUUAAAGAAAUUCGCUGAUAGAUGGGCAUGCGUUCCAUUAGGUAGUUGGUGAGGUAACGGCUCACCAAGCCGACGAUGGAUAGGGGAACUGAGAGGUUGGUCCCCCACACUGGUACUGAGACACGGACCAGACUCCUACGGGAGGCAGCAGUGAGGAAUAUUGGUCAAUGGGCGGGAGCCUGAACCAGCCAAGUCGCCGUGAAGGAAGAAGGAUCUAUGGUUCGUAAACUUCUUUUGCAGGGGAAUAAAGUGCAGGACGUGUCCUGUUUUGUAUGUACCCUGAGAAUAAGGAUCGGCUAACUCCGUGCCAGCCGCCGC